UUUUUUGACUUGUCAAAUAUUCUUAGAUUUAUGGUUCAAAUCCCAUAAACUAUAUAAAGAAAAAUCUUUUUUUUUUCUUCUUCUUGUCUUUUCUGGUUUGUUUUGGUCCAACAUUUUGAACAUGCUACACUCUAGGCUGUGCGCAGAGUGUAGCGACUAGCGAGACAUAUCCUGUUUGGCUGUAGAAUUGUUACAUAGCAAAACUAAACUGGUUGAUUGACUGGGGUGUUACCAUAGGCAACAACAAUUCUGUUGUGCCGCAGUUGAAAGUUGCUCCGGAAAAUGGGAAAUAGCAGGAGGGGGAUACAAAAGAAUUACUAUACUGUUCUUGUCAUACAUAAUGUUUCAUUUUUUAGUUGAUGACAUGAUAGAGAGUCGUUUAAUACUUUGCUGAAUUGCAAGGGAUGGCCUGGUGGACAAAGUGUUCCCUCUCCAAGUGUGAUUGCUAGGUUUGAGUAUUAUUGCUAUGCAAUGCAACUUUUCCUUUCCCUAUUAACCUCUGCUAUGGAUUGUAAGAAACAAAAAACAUCAAAUACAGUACUUUGCAGGAGCAGAUAGUGAUAGUUGAUAGUUGUGGUUUAUCAAAAUCUGUGGAUGGAAUGGAGAUGCAUCAGCUAUUCGAUAAGGAAAUGUGUUGUAAUUCUUUUCUCAGAUUGCUUGUUAAGAAUGUCUAUAGCUUGAUGAUCAAGUCUAUUAGAAUUAGUGGAAGAUUGACCUUGGCUCAACAACACUUCAAUCAUCUGUUGUGUGUCCUGCAGCCCUUGGAUGAGUUGCUUGGGCUUUAGUGUCCAUGUUUUCUGCUAGUGCUGCAACUGUGUUUUCUACUGGUGCUUUGGCUGUGGUUGCAGCUGUGUUGUGUUUUCAUGAAAUUUUCAAUGACAUUUUAUUCAUGUUAUUUGUUCUUAUCCAAUGCAGGUUCAAAUAUCAAAGAAAGGAAAGAAGAAGAAGUAGAGAGGACAAACUCAAUGAAAAAAGGCCUCUUUUUGGUUUGCCACUGUUCUGUCAAAGGUGGGAUACUCAUGAUCAUGUCAUUGGCAAGAUGAAACCAAAUUAUUGAUGAUGGGAUUGAUGGAGUUGGAUGAUGGUUUUGAUGAAGAUGUAUUUUGAUGAUACUUUAUGUAUGAAUGAUUGAGAGAAUUUUUUGCGUAGAGGAGUUAGUUGAGUACUUUUAUGCACUAUUUCCCCAUCUCCAUAUAAUGUUAUAUGAUGUGUUGAUUACAAGAUAUAUGUAAAAAUUGUGAUUAGCUUGAUGCAUGUUAGCAAGAGCUGAAUUAGCUUGAUGCCUCUUCUUCGGGCUUUAAGGCUUCAAGGGCAGUAAGGGAUGUUGAUAUUAAAUGUGUUGAUAAAUUUGACCCAUAUGUGUUCUUAUACAAAUUUUCAAUUAAUUGUCCAGCUAUGCUCAGAAUCAGGAAGAGAGAGAGAGAGAGAGAAGAGAGGGGGGGGGGAUGGCAUUUUUUUUAAAAAUGCCACCAAAUGAUGUCACUUGUGA